rnacentral:rRNA from 1 species
GAGUUUGAUCGUGGCUCAGAUUGAACGCUGGCGGCAUGCCUUACACAUGCAAGUCGAACGGCAGCAUGAUCUAGCUUGCUAGAUUGAUGGCGAGUGGCGAACGGGUGAGUAAUACAUCGGAACGUGCCCUGUAGUGGGGGAUAACUAGUCGAAAGAUUAGCUAAUACCGCAUACGAACCUGAGGGUGAAAGUGGGGGACCGCAAGGCCUCAUGCUAUAGGAGCGGCCGAUGUCUGAUUAGCUAGUUGGUGGGGUAAAGGCCCACCAAGGCGACGAUCAGUAGCUGGUCUGAGAGGACGAUCAGCCACACUGGGACUGAGACACGGCCCAGACUCCUACGGGAGGCAGCAGUGGGGAAUUUUGGACAAUGGGCGAAAGCCUGAUCCAGCAAUGCCGCGUGUGUG